rnacentral:lncRNA from 1 species
UGGUGCUGGAGCAGCAGACACAGGCGCGUUGUUGUCGGGAGGUGGGGGAGCCCCCGCCGGCUUGCGUGUUUUCUUCCUUAGCAACUGCCCCUCAGAAGCAAUACAGGACUUACCCUAAUGUCACCUCUGCUGAGUCCACGCCGGGGAAUGGCUGAGAAACAACUUCAUGCCAGAAUCCUGUCAAUCUAAGUCUCUACAAAAUUCUAGGAACCAAGAAAUUAUAAACUGAAAGCUCUUAAUGAGAAGCUCUCUGUGGGCAAUGAUCUGGGCUCUGCAGGGGGCUCCAGCAGCUGCCAGAGGGAAAUAAACGUGGAAAAGAACAACCUGAGGCUGCUCGGCUGAAGGCCGGAGCAUGGGGACUGCCCUAACCCUCACUCACGGUGCAGGGAGCUUCCCAGGAAGUCUCAGCUCACCUGCAGCCUUCGAACCAGGAGAGGCUCCGUGAAAGAGCAGGAUGCUCGAGGUCUGGCCUCAACCCUGUCAUCAUUGUCAAUCCCUGCGGCUCCUCCUUCCAGGGAGGCUGGGCAGAAGAGCAACAGGAGCAGGUGCUCAGGGGCAACACAGAAGACAGGAGCAGGUGCUCAGGGACAACAAGUACUCAGGGGACAGAAGGUGCCAGGAGGUAGUAGGUGUUCAGGGGGCAGCAGGUGCUCAGGGAGCAGCAGGUGCUCAAAGGCAGUACAGCAGACAGGAGCAGGUCAUUUCUAAAUAAGUUUAAAAACUGAAACAUGAAUUACUAAGCAUGAGUUUAAAGUUUAUAUCCUUUGACAUCGUGUUUUUACAUAGUAUAGAGAAGCUAAAUGUAUUUGGUUCUAUUAAUAAACAUGAAAAUUGUCCGGGUGCAGUGGCUCACACCUGUAAUCCCAGCACUUUGAGAGGUUGAGGAGGGCAGAUAGCUUGAGCCCAGGAGUUUGAGACCAUCCCAGGCAAUGUAGUGAAACUUUGUCUCUACAAAAAAAUACAAAAAUUAGCCAGGCGUGGUGGCUCCAGUUUUGACUGCAAGGAUGGACCCCUGAAAACGCCCAAGGCUUCAGAGGAUGACCGCUAGAGCCAGCAGUUUCUCUUUCCAUAAUCAAUCAUGUUAUUUGAUAGUUAUGAGAGUUGAUUCAAGAUUGAGAGAUGGAAUAGGCUGUUAUUACUCAGGCUCAUUUCCUAAAGUAAAUCAUAAUUUAUAGAUGUGGGACACAUAGGCUUUGAGAUUCCGAUACAAUUAGUGCAAACAUUUAGAAGAUAAAUUGGCCUCCAUUCCAAGGUAACCAAAUGGAUCCCUUUUUUAAGAAUUGAGAAUACUAUAAAACAAAGAUGCAAAAAUACCCAAAAUUGAUCAAUAAGGAUCACGCAGAGAUUUAUUUUUUGAAGACAAUACUAACAUUUCAAAUGUAGGAAAUACUAUUUUAUGCUUUAAACAGGGACAUUUAGUCUCGAGUUCUAGUUUUAAUGCCCUAACCUGGUUUAUCCAUAAAGUGGAGAGAGGCUAGUGCAUAAAUUCAUGUGGUACAGCCAAUCUUAUUCAUUUUUUCUCAAGGGACAGUUAUAACCAGAAUGAACAAAGCCUGGAAUUCAUUAACAGAGCUUACAGGGAAGGUGAGUGGUUUCGAAGCAUUUUUACUAAUCCUUUGAUAAGUCACCCUGAUGUGAGAGGUGGAUUUAGCGACUUGCUUAUGCCAAGUAGCAUAUGGCAAAAGUAAUGAUAUUUCACUACUGCACGUAUCUGCAAAGGGAGCACUCACUCUGGGGCAAGCCAGGCCUGUGUCAUGAAGACACUCGAGCAGCCCUGUGGAGAGGCCCAGGCGUAAGAAACAGACGCCUCUUACCAACAGUCAGUGAGGAACUGAGGUCUCCUGCCAUGAGCCAUGUGAGUGCGCGAUCUUGGAGGUGGGUUCUCUAGCCCCUGUCAGGCAGUCAGAUGAUGCAGCCCCAGUCACAUGCAAUCAAGUCUAGGUUCUUGAUAUUCUAGUUACUUAAAGAUUGUCAAGCAAGAAGUCAUUUCUUCCCCGGCUAUGCUAUUCAAAGGUUCAUGAAUCUUUUGGAUUUUGUAUAUUUUAGAAAUUCCAGAAUUUAUCAGUAGGAACCAGAAAUAGAAUAUCCAGCAGGAACGGCAUGAUGUAUAAAAAAAUAUAGUCCUUUUUGUACAUUCCCCUCUUCCAUUAUUCUAACUGUAUCUACCUUCAAAUCACACCUAAGAUUUCAGGGAUAGACCCUUUACCUCGAAGAUAAUGAAACCCAUCAGAUUAUAAUUUUUUUUUUGUUAUGGACAAUUCCCUUCCCUAAUAUUUCUCAAACUGAAGGUUGUAAUCUACUUCAAAGAGUCGUCCAAGGAAGGCAUGGUGAUCGACGAGUUUCAAAUAACUAUCAAAUACAUUUAUUUAUCCUAAAAACGUUGACAGUAAUGAUAGAAAUACUCAUUUUUAAAAUUCUUGAAUUCUGAUACAUAGUUCUAUUUUAAAGUCCUGAAAUACCAGUAUUUUUUUAUUGGUAUACUACAAUUAUACCACUAUUUUUGGAAACUAAGGUCUGAAUUAUUAACUUCUUUUUUUUGAGAUGAGGUGUCAUCUGUUGUUGUUCAGGCUGGAGUGCAGUGGUGCAAUCACGGCUCCCUGCAGCCUCAGAUCCCUGGGCUCAAAGAAAUCCUGUGAGCAUGGCACUGUACCCAGCUGAUUUUUUAAUGGUUUGUAGAGACAGGGCUUUGCUUUGUUGCCCAGGCUGGUCUCAAGCUCCUAACAUCAAGCAAUCCUCCUACCUUGGCCUCCCAAACUGCUAGGAUUACAGGUGUGAGUCACCAUGCCCAGCCUUUAUUUAUCUCUUAAAAUGAAAGUCAUUGACUAAACUAUUCAAUUUUGUGCCAAAAAAAAGAUGAACUAAUGUGCAGUCUUCAAAACUGAUAGGAUUAUUCUGGAAAAUUUUGUACAUACACACACAAAAAAAGAAGCAUUGAUGACUUUUGUUAAAAACACCAAAUAAUAUGUCAUUUUAAAUGUUUAUGAACGAUUAAUUUCUUAUUUCAAUAUAAUGCUUAGUUGAUUAUUUGUAAUAAAAGUUUAUUUUUGUUUAUGUGCUAAUCCAUUAGGAUGUGAUAUAGUUUGGAUAUUUGUCCCUACCCACAUCUCAUGCUGAGUUGUAAUCCCCAAUGCCAGAGGUGGGGCCUGGUGGGAGAUGUUUGGGUUCUGGGGGUGGGUCCCUCAUGGCUUGAUGCUGUCUUCUUGAGAGUGAGUUCUCAUGAGAUCUGGUUAUUUAAAAGUGGGUGGCACCUCCCUGCCCACUGUCUCUCACUUGUUCCUGCUCCUGCUCCUGCCAUGUGAUGUGCCUGCUCCCCCUUUGCCUUCCGCCAUGAUUGAAGCUUCCUGAGGCCUCCCAGAAGUAGAAGCCGCCAUGCUUCCUGUAUAGCCUGUAGAACCACAAGCCAAU